rnacentral:rRNA from 1 species
UUUAAAACUUAAAGGACUUGGCGGUGUUUUAGACUUUUCAGGGGAACCUGUCUCUUAAUCGAUAGUCCACGAUAGACCUAACUUUAUUUUAAGGUAUGUAUACCGUCGUCAGCAGGUGACUUUUAAAAAAAUAAAAGUUAGCAAGUAAAAAAAUUUGUUUUUUAUGUCAGAUCAAGGUGCAGCUUAUAAAAAAGUGAGGAUGGGUUACAAUUAAUAAAAUUUUAAUUACGGAAAUGUUGAUGAAAUUCAUAUUUGAAGGAGGACUU